CCUUCACCGUGUUGUUAGCGCUGGUGAUAAUUUACUGGCUUCUAGUAAUGGUGGGCGCGAUGGACAUGGAUCUUUUCUCGGAUGCGCACGCCGAUGUGGGUGAUCUUCAUCAUGGCGAUGUCGGACAUCAUGUAGAAGGCGCACAUGACGCGCACCAUCACCAUGAAGGUGCAUUCACGAAAGUGCUGAAAUUUGCAGGCGUGGGUGAGAUUCCAGUCAUGUUUAUCCUGAGCGUGAUGAGCCUUUGCAUGUGGAUGUUUUCAAUGGCGGCACAUUAUUACGUCCAAAGCUCACUGAGCCCCGGGAUGCUGGCGUUUGCGCUUCUGGUUCCGAACUUCAUCGUGAGUCUCAUCGCCACCCGUUUUCUGGUGCUGCCGUUCCGUCCGAUGUUUCGCAUGCUGAUGAAAGACCGCGAUCCCGGCGAGGCGGUGCUCGGCAAUUUCUGCAAAAUCAUCUCCACGGAAGCGGAUAGCGAUUUUGGCCAGGCGGAAAUCACCACCAAGGGCUCGCCGGUGAUCAUCAACGUCCGCACGAUCAAUGACGCCGUCAUCCCCAAAGGUGUCAUCGCCACCGUCGUCCGCGAAGAUCGCGACAAAGGAAUUUUCUACAUCGCGGAAAUGCCGCCAGCUUCCAAUAACAACCCAACCAGCCAGACCUAAUCCAUGAUCACCAUUGCGUUUAUCGACAAACUAUUCGGCAUCGGCGGAGCGAUCUUUCUGCUCCUGCUCGCCGGAGUCAUCUUCAGCAUUCUCACCUGCUUCCGCAAGGUCGAGCAGGGACGCGCCAUCAUCCGCAACGGCCUCCGCGGCACGAAGGUUUCCUUCUCCGGCCUCACCGUGUUUCCGAUCAUUGAUAAGGCGGAAUACAUGGAUAUCUCCGUCAAGCGCGUGGAAAUCUACCGCCACGGACACAACGGCCUGAUCUGUAUGGAUAACAUGCGCGCCGACAUCAAAGUCGCAUUUUUCGUCCGCGUGAACCAGACCUCCGACGAUGUGCUCAAAGUCGCACAGUCCAUCGGUUGCGUCCGUGCUUCGAGCCUGGAGGCAAUUGUGGAUCUCUUUGACG
rnacentral:misc_RNA from 1 species